GCCUCUGUAUAUAUUAAGUUACCUCUGUUCAAAUAUAAAUAUUUAACAUUUCAGUGCAAAUGGUCGAAAUUCCGUUUUAAGCUGCAGCUCUGAAAUGACCAGAAGGACACGUUUCAUGGACAAGUUUGUUGCAAAAUAUUGUUUUGAAUACAUGUCAAAUAAACGUUUGUCUGUCACACACAAACGUGCACACUGUACAGUGCUCACACAAACGCAAGGCUAUGCAAAAAGGACAAACAGAUAAUCAAACAAGGCAAAUAUCUGGCCAAAGUUAAGCAAGCCAAAACUUUGGCAUCUCCCAGAUUUCAGUUGCUGUUCUCAUUUCUCUGCCAAGUGAUUCACUCGCACAGGUGUUAGCCAGAAACGGAGAUUGCCAGUCUAAGGGCGAUGCCAGCGGAAAUAUUCCGAGGAGCCGCGGGCGGACAGGAGCGUGCUGCUCGCUGGCUGCUGAUUUUUUCCAAUAAUUUAACUCACGUUGCGUAUACGCCGCGUAAACGUCGCCCGAAAACGCAACCGCACAUGCCACUUGCUGCACAAUCCAAUCAAAAGUUUACAAUUUACGCUCGAAAUGCUGCGCCUGGGACGCGGCACACAUUGAUAGGCGUCGGCAGCCACCCCCCACCCACAUUGCCACCCAACCACCCAAGCCACUCACCUCCCCCACAUCAUCUACUUUGCCAUCUGAGUGUGCAGGGCGUAAAAAAUGUAUUCAUCGCUUUAAAUAUGUGCAGGACCAAGUUUCGCCGGCAGGCCUACACCUCACAUCCUACCAGUCUGCUGUGUGCGCUGUUAAAGUGGACCUUUGUAAUCGAAAAAUAUGCAAAAAUAAUAAUUAGUUUAGAAAUUAAUUUAUUGUUUAUUUCUUUCUGUCAGAAAGAAGUUGUUUCUUCUCCGCUUUAAGAAAAUUCUUCAAUUCAUGCGUAAGUUUUGAAAAGUUUACGAAUGGCACACAUGGUUCAGCCUAAUAUUCGCAGAGCAGGACAAAUCCGCUUACCGCUCUCACACUCUUUGCGGAAAAACCAAGCUAAGGACAAAACCUUCAGAGUGCGGAACAUUAAAAGAAAAAAUUUUGGAAAAAACCUAGACAGUCGUUUACACGGCUUAUUCGUCUUCAUUUCAACAUCAACGAUGAUUAUGAUUUAAGGUCAUCCAUCCACAAAGGCUUCCAGUAAUGCUCUUGCACUGGAAUGACAGAGGGGUGCAAUCGAAACGUAAUUAGCGUCUUGAGAUGCAUUCAGCUUUAUGCGUAGGAGGAAGUUACUCGAAGACCUAUGAACCGAUGUGCAAUGGAACUUUAAGACACUUUAAAAGAUCAAAAUCAUACAAGUAUACUCGAGGCCAAAGAAAUUAAAUUCCUUCUGUACACUUUGCACCAAAUACCAAUAGAAUCAAGUAGUAGUAUAAAUAAAUUUCAUAGCUUUAUAGCUGCAAUGACUUCCUUACUAUCGGCAAUGAAAUUCAAUAUUCAAUAUUUCGAUUUUCGCCCUCUCCAGUUGCCGUCUGUGUGUAUUGCCACCGCUGCUUGCGACAUUGUGGCAACUGCAACUCUAUUAGGAUCCAUCAAUGUCAGCCAAUUUAUGCGCAUAUUAAAAAUGCGGUCUGCCGAUGACAAACACACCAGCAGCCAGGCUCCAAGGAGCACGAAGUAGUGCUGCCGCAGGAAGAUGAAAGAGAAGGACGCGACAAGGACUUGGCCAGGACGCACGUGGCGCUCACAUAGGCAAACAUAUGACGAUGCGCGAAAUGGAGGAACUACUCGGCAACGUGACAGGAGCAGAAGCGCAAAGAAAACCUGAAGCAGCUGGAGGACUCGGUAGUGCUAUCAAAAAGGGUUCGGAAUACACUUGAAAAAAAAACGCAAGUUUAUGCAAGAAGGUUAUAAGAAACUACUUUUAAAGCUGUUAGGAAAAGAUGCAAAACUUUACAAGAGCUGAUAGUUUAGUGAAAGUAGAUUGUGGUCGUCAAUUCCAAUUUUAAUCUUCUUUGUUUAAUACAAAUGUGAAUAAAGAGUAGGAAAUUUGGCUAGCA
rnacentral:sRNA from 1 species